GUAAUAUCUCAUAAAUUAUAAACAUGAUAAACACUGAAUAUUGAGUGGACACUCUCGUGUCUAUACAUAAAUUCUGAAUAACAUGUCAACAAAGAUAUACAUGUACACGCCAAGGAUCGAAGUAGUGUCACAGUGGAAAUUUAGAAGACUUAAAAGCAAUAUAAAAUGUCUUCAAUACCUGUGAUAGAUUUCCAAAAAUAUGGGCUUCAUAUCGAGAAGGCAGAUUCUGUACCUAGGGAGGACUUGAAGGAGUUAGGAGACCAGAUGUGUGAAGCUCUACAGAAUAUUGGGUUCUGUUAUUUGAAAAACCACGGAGUUCCUGAUGCACAGUUGAAAGAAGUAUUGGAAUUGUCAAAAAAAUUCUUCAGUCAGCCAUUAGAAGAAAAAGAAAAAUGUGCCAAACCAGAUGGAGGUUAUGAUGGAUGGAUCGGACUAGAGAAAGAAAAACUGAAUUUAGAGAGACCAGUAGGAGAUUAUAAAGAAACCUAUAACAUUACUCCAAUAUGCGAAGUAUGGCCGACCAAUAUACCAGAAUUUGAGACAGUUUUAAUGGAUUUCUUACGAAAAUGCAUAGAACUAGCUUUAAGAGUUUUUGAUGUUAUCUCCGUUGGUUUGAAUUUAGAGGACAAGAAUUUCUUUCGAAACUGUCACAAAUUAAUUGGACAAAGAGGAAAUGUCACUGCUCUUAGAAGUUUGUUUUAUCCGGCUAUUCCAAUGGAAAAAGAAAUAAUGGAAGGCCAAGUAAGAUGUGGUGAGCAUUCAGACUAUGGUACACUAACGCUACUAUUCCAAGACCUCGUCGGUGGAUUGGAGGUAAAAACACGUGAUGGGAACUAUAUUCCAGCUACACCAAUUUCUAGUACCAUUGUUGUAAACAUUGGGGAUAUGAUGCAGAGAUGGACGGCAGAUAAACUUAUUGCAACGAAACAUCGUGUUUUAAUUCCGAAAGAAGAAUCAAUAAAACGACAGAGUCGACAGUCUGCAGCUUAAAAAAGCCUUUGUUUGUUGUCCCGGAUUCAUUUCACGUCAUCACGUGUUUGGACGAUUCUGAGAAAUACCCUUCUAUCACUUGUAUUGAUUAUCUCUAUGGAAAGUUUCAUGAAAAAUUCUAAAUUGAGACACCGAGUUCUUAUUCCGGGAGAGGAAAUCCAAAAGAGGAGAGAUCGUCAGUCCGUGGCUUUAUUUGUUUUACCAGACGAUGAUGCAAUAAUCCGGUGCCUGGACAACUCGAACAAAUAUGAACCAAUCACAAGUCAAAAUUAUUUGAAUAUGAGAUUUUUUGAAAAGUUUUAAUAAUCACUUCAAUAAAAUCAUACUGACAUGAA